rnacentral:rRNA from 1 species
UACGGGAGGAUCCAAGCGUUUAUCCGGAAUCAUUGGGUUUAAAGGGUCCGUAGGCGGGCCAGUAAGUCAGUGGUGAAAUCUCCCGGCUCAACCGGGAAAUUGCCAUUGAUACUGCUGGUCUUGAAUUACCAGGAAGUAACUAGAAUAUGUAGUGUAGCGGUGAAAUGCUUAGAGAUUACAUGGAAUACCAAUUGCGAAGGCAGGUUACUACUGGUGGAUUGACGCUGAUGGACGAAAGCGUGGGUAGCGAACGGG